CCAAUAGCGUAUAUUAAAGUUGUUGCAGUUAAAAAGCUCGUAGUUGAAUUUCGGGAUCAGUAGGUCGGUCGUGCCACUGGUAUGAACUGGUCUCACUGGUUCCUCCCUCUUGACGAACUGCAAUGCUAUUAAUUUAGUGUUGUAGGAAAUCAGGACUGUUACUUUGAAAAAAUUAGAGUGUUUAAAGCAGGCUUUGGCUUGAAUACAUUAGCAUGGAAUAAUGAAAUAGGACGUUCGAUCCUAUUUUGUUGGCUUCUAGGAUUGACGUAAUGAUUAAUAGGGACAGUUGGGGGCAUUAGUAUUCAAUUGUCAGAGGUGAAAUUCUUGGAUUUAUUGAAGACUAACUACUGCGAAAGCAUUUGCCAUGGAUGUUUUCAUUAAUCAAGAACGAAAGUUAGGGGAUCGAAGACGAUCAGAUACCGUCGUAGUCUUAACCAUAAACUAUGCCGACUAGGGAUCGGAUGAUGUUAAUUUUUUAAUGACUCAUUCGGCGCCUUACG
rnacentral:misc_RNA from 1 species